CGGUUGUACAUGUAUCAACCGGAUGAAGGAAAAAGUAGUUGGAAUAGGAAUUAUGUGCUUCAUUAUUUGUUCACUUUUUCUGUACCGAAAUGAAUUCCAAGGAAAACCAAUAUUUAUGUUACCGAAUGGUUCUUAUGCAGCAAUACUUUUGGAUGAGAACCCUGACGAUGAGCAACACAACUCUAUGCUACAGGAACGGAUCACCAAUUUAAAACAGUUUUGCAAAUAUCAUCC